UGUGGUGGGGGAUCCAAUUAUAGAUUUGUCCAAAGGAAAGUGAAUCCUUCUCUCGCAACAGAUACAACACCAAUCCAUUCAAUCAAGCAAAUGAUGUGCUGAGGUGCACUAGGUUAGGUAAAAAAUAAAUUAAGACAUAAUCACCUUAAAAAUGAGGCAAAUUGGCUUAAAAACAUAAAGCUCAAGCUACAUUCAAUAAUUUCUAGUACAUGUGCUUUGUGCUGCAACAUUUUGUUGUUGUGGACCAAGUU
rnacentral:lncRNA from 1 species